GGAAAUAAGUUUCAUACAGUAAUUUUUAUAAGUGAUAUUUGCAUGAAACAUUCAUGUAUGUUGAGAGGUCAUGAUUAAACAAAAAUGAUGAUGAGAAUUUAAUGUUCUAUAGGUAUCUAUAAUAUAAACUGCUAGAGUAUUAGAGAUAAAUGUUAGAAUGUCUCUUCAUUUCAGUGUUCCUUGAAAUUGGAUGUGUUUGAACCUUGUACAUUUCCAUGGGUAAAAUUAUGUCCCAAUUGAUGGAAUUUUCUUUUUUCCCCCCUCUCUUCUUCCUUUCUUUUCUAAUUGAAGAACAUUUUUAAAAAAUUGAUACUCAGGUUAAAUUAAAUUAACACUUCAAGCUAAAAACUCUGUAAUUGAGAUUGCCUCUAGAGAAGAUAGAAGAACAUUGCACAAUUUAAGCCCCCAAUUGUCUAUUGAGCUUUUAGGUCUGAGUAAAUUCUCUUUCAUGUAAAUAAAAGUUUUACCUGUUUAUGUAGCAUCCAUAAAAUCAGGUGUUAAAUCCAGUUUCUUUUAAUUAAAUAGAUACUGUAGCUUUUUCAACCAAUAGGUAAAUUGACAAAACCAAGAGAAAGUAAUGAAAAUCUGGACUUGCCCAGCUUCCCAUUAAAAGUUGUAUAUUUACUUGUCCAGUCUAUCUGCCAUCUCUGUCUUCCUGUCCCCCCCCACUUUUCUUUGUGGUACCAUGAAUCAAACUGAGGGCCUCAUGCGUGCUAGACAAGUACUGUACACUGAUCACUGAGCUACAACCCAUCCUCUAGGUGAUCUCAUUCAACAUCUAGAAGUAAGGAAUGAGGGGACCUGAACAGAGAAGGAACCUUAGAUUUAUUUCAGAGGUGAAAAUUAUAAUUUCUUUUCAGUGUAUUGUUUCCAAAGAUCUUACAUAUAUACAGCUAAGUAUUAAAUUCAUCUCUUGCAAUUCAGGAAAAGCUAUACUAUAUAUAUAGGUAUUAUUUUAAAGAAAUUUAUAAUUCUUUUAUGACCUGGUAUAUAAAUCUAGAAUAUUUAAUAAGCAUGUGUUCAUAUAAAUAAAAUGUAUAUUUAUUUUUAAAUUGGUAUGGAAUAUCAGAAUAAAGAUUUCUAGAUACUUGUAA
rnacentral:lncRNA from 1 species